CCGAGAGGCGUAGGCGAUGGAUAACCGGUUGAUAUUCCGGUACCCGCUGUGAAGCGUCAAACAUUGAAUCCAGUGAUGCUAAGCCCGUGAAGCCGUUCCGGACCCUUCGGGGAAUGGAAAGUGGUGGAGCCGGUGGCCCGAGCUGGUAGUAGGUGAGUGAUGGGGUGACGCAGGAAGGUAGUCCAUCCCGGGCGGUGGUUGUCCCGGGGUAAGGGUGUAGGACGUCAGGUAGGUAAAUCCGCCUGACACGUGGUCGAAAACCGGAGGCCAAGCCAAUGGGGGGGAAUGGAAGGAUCCUAGGCGGCGAAAAAAAGCCCCUAGCGAGUUUCAGGGCGGCCCGUACCCCAAACCAACCCAGG
rnacentral:rRNA from 1 species